rnacentral:lncRNA from 1 species
GCCACCAUUGCCCCUCUCUGGGACCUGCGUCUUCCCAUUUGGAAGCUGGGGUUUACUUAUUCCUGCCCCUCUGCUGGGUAACUGUGAAGAUGAGAGGUGGGUCCUGGCUCUGAACUGGGAUCUCCUGGGAAAGCGGGGCAUUGCCGUUCCCUCCUGAUGUCACGCUUAUCUGUCCUGCCUUCGUCCUCAUUCAGCCUGUGCCCCCUUUCCCAGGCUACUGGCUGUGAAACAGGGUGAGAGACGUGCUGACGUAGGAUGGAGAGAAGAGCCUAGAAGGCCUGGCGUGGGAAGAAGAUACAGCAACUUCAGGGGAAAGGCAGAGCGAGGCCCUGAGAGCUCUGGGUCGACAGUGCCUGACAGGUGCUGGCACAACGCCAUGGCAACAACUGACCAAGCAGUUUCUCUGGAGCAGACAGCCUGGGUCCAAAUCGCAGCCUCCUUGCUAGCUGUGUGAUCUCAGACAGGUGACUUAACUUUUCUGUGUCUCAGUGUCCAUGUUUGUAAAAUGGCAAUGUCACAAUAUCCAUCUUAUGAAGUUGUCAAGACUAAAAGAGUUAAUAUUUAUAAAGUCUUAGAAGAUGAUGGAACAUGAUAGUGUAUGAAAAUAGAAUGUGUACAUGUAUGUGUAACUGGGUCACCAUGCUGUACAGUAGAAAAAAAAAAGUUGUAUUGGGGAAAUAACUAUUAAAAAAAUUGAAAAUAAAUAAAUAAAUAAAAAAUAAAGUCUUAGAAGU